AAGUCCUCCGCCAGCCACGACGGGGCAUAGAACUCCUCAAGGAAAAGCUCGGAACGGCCAGCUCCCAGCUCAUCAGAUCCAUGUYUUCAUCCCUGCAUCAUCUCAUUUGGAUGCUGCUGCUGGAGCAAUUUCUCCYGUCUUGCCUGUUCUGUCUCUUCCCCCUGGCCAUUCCAAGGUUCAUUUUUCCACAAGGAGGUGUCUUUUACAGUAGAGGACAAAAAUAAAUUAUGAGUGAAAAGAAGUUAAAAUUGUUCCUCUCAAGCAAGUCUCUUCCAUCAAUGCUUUAUCCUUCCAUUACAUCUGAUGUCAUUAAUCAUUCUACUGUAAUAUUUGACACACACAUUUGUGGGACAAAUUAGGAUCUAAUAUAAAAGYUGCAAUAAUACUGACUUAUGUGGAACUGCAGCUAAUUAUAACAUAUUUGAAUUUUCAUCUUUUAUAAAAGACCUCUAUAAAAUAGACAGACUUUCACACUGCUGAAAUGAGACUGAGAUAGUCAAGCAUAUGAGGGGCAAGGGAAGAAACAUCCAAGGAUAGCAGGACAAAUCUCAGCACCAUAAUGAGCCAAUAUCAGUUGUUGGUGGAUUCUUUUUAUUUGUAGGUUUUUUUCUCUUUAAGCUUUCAGAUGGCUUCUCUACUGUAGCUGUGGUGCUCAGCUUAUUUAAAUUGGAAAGGUUUGGUUGCCUUUAUACAUGAAGGACUGAUUCUGCUAUCUUCAGAGAUUAAAUGUUGCUUCAGUUGUCACAGGUGGACUAGAAGAGAUAAAGGAGACAGGAUACCAAUGCAGGAAAAUACAUCUCAUYGAGCAAGAGGGUGAGAGUUCACUAAAUAUUUUCUAAAAAGCGGCCUCUCCUUCCUCUCUCCCCACAGGGUCUUCACUAUGCCCUUGCUUGUAGACCUCUAGAUCCUCAGUCUUUGGAGUUCCCUGUGUCAGGUUCAAUGUUUGUGUUCAGUUCCUUGAAGAAGCAUCAGACAUUGCUCUGCCUUGAGAUCCUGCCAGUGCUCAAAGCCUUGGAUCCAUGUGGAGGGAGAAAAUUAGCAGCAUAAAUUCUCAGUUUGUGUAUUARCUAAAAAGUUGGUUAGGCUCUGCUAUUUCUGCAUCUGGGAUCCUCAGUCUGAGUGUGGGCUCAUUACUCUACUGAAUUAUAUAUCAGAAGUAAUUUCUUUUCCUUKGAAGUGAAUCCUACAUAUGUGCAACUCUUUUCUAAAAUGGAUUCCUUGUGUCUCUCAGACAUUGUGUUUGCCUUAGAUAAUCUUCAGAAAAACAAGUUGUCCAGUUAGUUCCCCAUGGGUUUGCCCCCCAUCUAGAAAUGAGAGGAGAUCAUAGAUUUAGCAUGUUUUCUGGAUGCUGAGAUUCRUAUGCAAUGUUGAAGGAGCAGCAGCUUCCUUUACAGGUUUUCCCUUGUGCUGCCCUUAAGCAUCCUAGAUUGAUGCAUUUUUCAUUUUCCAGUGCAGUAGCACCUUUCUGUGCUGGUGCUUCAAAGCCAUAAUAUCUCCAAAUCUAACAGAAAGGUUAUUUUGAAGUUUUCAUUUACAGGAGUAUUAAUGCCACGCUUGUUUCCUUAAUAGUCUGUUACAUGCUGAAGGCAAGGAUUGUGCUGUUUGAGAUUAACACAGCACAAACUGCUGUGCAGAGCUGCCCAUUUCAGACACCUCAGUGGAAGCCAGGUGAAUAACCCUGUUUAAGGCAUGGACCAGAGCACUGGGAAAAUGGCCAGUAAGAGUUAAGRGUUCAUUGGUAUAAUGAAGGGUACAUUUUCUCCCUUCCUUGCCAAUACCUUUUAAAGAUGUCUCUGAGCAGAAACAAAAGGGUCUUGCUGUCCACCACUAUUUACUGUGUCACUGCCUUGUCACAGAUUCCUGUGCURUUUCUCCUCACGUCUGCAGUUACUCCUUUUAUCCCUGUUUUUGUGGUAUGACCCCACUUGCAAUGCAUCUGUUCAUAGUUAUUCUCCAUCCCUUCACUCUUCCAAACUUCACUGUAUUACCCUAGAAAUCACCUUUUUGUCUUUAAGCUCCUGUCUGCCUUGUAUCAUCUCUCAAGGCUUCUGYAUUUUUUGUUACCCUCUUUCUAUCAAGCGUCUUCAUUCUCACUGUAUAUCUUAGGCCCAGUUUCUUCACCAGCUUCCUUCAACUUACUGCUGCUGGACUUCCUACAUUGUCCCCAGUGUGUUAUUUUGAGUCACAAAUGGGAAGCUGAGCUGCAAGGCUGCAGGAACCCUGGACUUUCAUGCAGAAGUGCUGCAGCCAAAUAUGGAUGUCCAAUUCCAGACCAGGUUGGCAAGCUUCUGAUGUUAUUUAUGGGUCUGUAGAAUUAUUAUUUCACACAGGCACUGAAAUAGCUGGAUGUUGGAUCAAGCUUUAGUUGGUCAGUAACAGUUUUGCAUUGCUUUCUGCCCCUUACACAGCUUUGUGACAGGUAGAGGUCUUGUCCAAAUGGCAGGAUGGCUCCAGAUGAGUUGGGGGCAGUUAGAUGUGCACCAUUUGUGCAAGCUGUGCACUAGAAGCACUACUUAGUAUUUCUUAUAUUGCUGAAUUGGGUUCAGCAGUAAUAAUAUUGGAGUAUGAUCAUAAUAAGUYCAGUAAUUAGCAAUAGGGAGUUCUUUACUUAAUCCCACCACAUUCUGUAGUUGUUUGUAAUUUAAGUUUGCAUUCUACCCCCUAAAACCCAGACUGACUAUACCAGUCACACAACUGGUAGGAAUGGUGUGAUCCCCCAUUUAAAUCAUUGUUAUUAACCAAUUUAUAGGUUUGGCUUCCUUAGUGUUAUAUGAUUUAAUGUUAAAUGUAUAAUAAUGUUUUCUGUAAAAUGUUGAGUUCAAACUGCCCUUAAGUUAUUGUAGUGGGCUGGUUGUGGGGGUUUAAAAAGGUGGUACCACAAUCCCUGGGUGUGCCUCUGGCACUGUGCCAAGCACCCACCAUCACUGUAUACUCUUGCUCUGCAGAUUUUUGGGUUCUCAAUAAAUUUUCUUUUGGCUCAUUCUCACUCGGAGUCUGGGUCAUUUAUAACAUCUUCAAGUUUUUUAAUUAAAAAAGCUGUAUAGCAUUACAAUUCACUGACUAAACUAAUUUUAUGCUUUAAUUUCAGGAGUUUAAAAGAAUGGUGGGAAUAUUCAGAGAUUUCCUCACUUGUCUGAACUCUUUCUCCUGG